rnacentral:rRNA from 1 species
AAUAAACGCUGACGGCGUGCUUAACACAUGCAAGUCGAACGAGUUUAAUGAAGUCGUAAGAUGACAUUAAAUUAGUGGCAAACGGGUGAGUAAUACAUGGGUAAUCUACCUUUAAGUGGGGGAUAGCUUCGCGAAAGCGGAGAUAAUACCGCAUAUGACCACGACUUGAGAUUCUCAAGUUGAGGUAAAAGGCGCAAGCCGCUUAUCAAUGAGCCCAUGGCCUAUCAGCUAGUUGGUGAGGUAAAAGCUCACCAAGGCAACGACGGGUAGCCGGCCUGAAAGGGUGAACGGCCACACUGGAACUGAUACACGGUCCAGACUCCUACGGGAGGCAGCAGUGGGGAAUAUUGCACAAUGGGCGAAAGCCUGAUGCAGCGACGCCGCGUGAGGGAUGACGGCCUUCGGGUUGUAAACCUCUUUCAGCAGGGAAGAAGCGCAAGUGACGGUACCUGCAGAAGAAGCACCGGCUAACUACGUGCCAGCAGCCGCGGUAA